rnacentral:rRNA from 1 species
GAUGAACGCUGGCGGCGUGCUUAACACAUGCAAGUCGAACGGGAAACCUUUUAUUGAAGCUUCGGCAGAUUUAACUGGUUUCUAGUGGCGGACGGGUGAGUAACGCGUGGGUAACCUGCCUUGUACAGGGGGAUAACAGUCAGAAAUGACUGCUAAUACCGCAUAAGCGCACAGGACCGCAUGGUCCGGUGUGAAAAACUCCGGUGGUAUAAGAUGGACCCGCGUUGGAUUAGCUAGUUGGCAGGGUAACGGCCUACCAAGGCGACGAUCCAUAGCCGGCCUGAGAGGGUGAACGGCCACAUUGGGACUGAGACACGGCCCAGACUCCUACGGGAGGCAGCAGUGGGGAAUAUUGCACAAUGGGGGAAACCCUGAUGCAGCGACGCCGCGUGAAGGAAGAAGUAUCUCGGUAUGUAAACUUCUAUCAGCAGGGAAGAAAAUGACGGUACCUGACUAAGAAGCCCCGGCU